AGAUUGAGCGCUGGCGGAAUGCUUUACACAUGCAAGUCGAGCGGCAGCGCGGGGCAACCCUGGCGGCGAGCGGCGAACGGGUGAGUAAUACAUCGGAACGUGUCCUGGAGUGGGGGAUAGCUCGGCGAAAGCCGGAUUAAUACCGCAUAAGCUCUGAGGAGGAAAGCGGGGGAUUCGCAAGGACCUCGCGCUGUUGGAGCGGCCGAUGUCGGAUUAGCUAGUGUGGGUAAGCCACAAGGCGACGAUCCGUAGCUGGUCUGAGAGGAUGAUCAGCCACACUGGAACUGAGACACGGUCCAGACUCCUACGGGAGGCAGCAGUGGGAAUUUGGACAAUGGGGCAACCUGAUCCAGCCAUUCCGCGUGAGUGAAGAAGGCUUACGGUGUAAGUCUCGUUCGACGAAGAAUGGUACGCUAACACCUGUGACUGAUGACGUACCGUAAGAAGAAGCGACGACUAACGUACGU
rnacentral:rRNA from 1 species